rnacentral:rRNA from 1 species
UACGUAGGGUGCAAGCGUUAAUCGGAAUUACUGGGCGUAAAGCGUGCGCAGGCGGUUUUGUAAGACAGGUGUGAAAUCCCCGAGCUCAACUUGGGAACUGCACUUGUGACUGCAAGACUAGAGUGUGUCAGAGGGAGGUAGAAUUCCACGUGUAGCAGUGAAAUGCGUAGAGAUGUGGAGGAAUACCGGUGGCGAAGGCGGCCUCCUGGGAUAACACUGACGCUCAUGUACGAAAGCGUGGGGAGCAAACAGGAUUAGAUACCCUGGUAGUCCACGCCCUAAACGAUGUCAACUGGUUGUUGGGUCUUCAUUGACUUAGUAACGAAGCUAACGCGUGAAGUUGACCGCCUGGGGAGUACGGUCGCAAGAUUAAA